rnacentral:rRNA from 1 species
AGCGAACGCUGGCGGCAGGCCUAACACAUGCAAGUCGAACGAACUCUUCGGAGUUAGUGGCGGACGGGUGAGUAACACGUGGGAACGUGCCUUUAGGUUCGGAAUAACUCAGGGAAACUUGUGCUAAUACCGAAUGUGCCCUUCGGGGGAAGGAUUUAUCGCCUUUAGAGCGGCCCGCGUCUGAUUAGCUAGUUGGUGAGGUAAAGGCUCACCAAGGCGACGAUCAGUAGCUGGUCUGAGAGGAUGACCAGCCACAUUGGGACUGAGACACGGCCCAAACUCCUACGGGAGGCAGCAGUGGGGAAUCUCGCGCAAUGGGCGAAAGCCUGACGCAGCCAUGCCGCGUGUAUGACGAAGGUCUUAGGAUUGUAAAAUACUUUCACCGGUGAAGAUAAUGACUGUAGCCGGAGAAGAAGCCCCGGCUAACUUCGUGCCAGCCGCCGCGGUAAGAC